GAUUAUGGCUCAGGAUGAACGCUGGCGGCGUGCCUAACACAUGCAAGUCGAGCGGAGAUAAGUUGAAGCCUAGCGAUUCUUAUCUUAGCGGCGGAUGGGUGAGUAACACGUGGGUAACCUGCCCUGUACUGGGGAAUAACAGCUGGAAACGGCUGUUAAUGCCGCAUAUGCGCACGGAGCCGCAUGGCUUUGGGCGGAAAGAUUUAUCGGUACAGGAUGGGCCCGCGCCGGAUUAACUAGUUGGCGGGGUAACGGCCCACCAAGGUGAUGAUCCGUAGCCGACCUGAGAGGGUGACCGGCCACAUUGGGACUGAGACACGGCCCAAACUCCUACGGGAGGCAGCAGUGGGGGAUAUUGCACAAUGGGGGAAACCCUGAAUGCAGCGACGCCGCGUGAAGGAUGACGUAUUUCGGUAUGUAAACUUCUAUCAGCGGGGAAGAAGAUGACGGUACCCGACUAAGAAGCCCCGGCUAACUACGUGCCAGCCGCAGC
rnacentral:rRNA from 1 species